GAUGAAGAACGCAGCGAAAUGCGAUAAGUAAUGUGAAUUGCAGAAUUCAGUGAAUCAUCGAAUCUUUGAACGCACAUUGCGCCCAUUAGUAUUCUAGUGGGCAUGCCUGUUCGAGCGUCAUUAAGUCCACUUAAGCCCUGCUUAGUGUUGGGAGACUGCUCCAGCGGUGCUACCCUGUAGCUACCCUGCAGCUCCUCAAAGACAGCGGCGGAGUUGUGGUAUCCUCUGAGCUUAGUAACUUGUUCUAGCUUUCGAGUACACCACUACCCCUGCCGUAAAACCCUUAAUUUUUAAUGGUUGACCUCGGAUCAGGUAGGAAUACCCGCUGAACUUAAGCAUAUCAAUAAGCGGAGGA
rnacentral:misc_RNA from 1 species